rnacentral:rRNA from 1 species
GACGAACGCUGGCGGCGUGCUUAACACAUGCAAGUCGAACGGAAAGGCCCUGCUUUUGUGGGGUGCUCGAGUGGCGAACGGGUGAGUAACACGUGAGUAACCUGCCCUUGACUUUGGGAUAACUUCAGGAAACUGGGGCUAAUACCGGAUAGGAGCUCCUGCUGCAUGGUGGGGGUUGGAAAGUUUCGGCGGUUGGGGAUGGACUCGCGGCUUAUCAGCUUGUUGGUGGGGUAGUGGCUUACCAAGGCUUUGACGGGUAGCCGGCCUGAGAGGGUGACCGGCCACAUUGGGACUGAGAUACGGCCCAGACUCCUACGGGGGGCAGCAGGGGGGAAUAUGGCACAAGGGGCGGAAGCCUGAUGCAGCAACGCCGCGUGCGGGAUGACGGCCUUCGGGUGGUAAACCGCUUUCGCCGGUGACGAAGCGUGAGUGACGGUAAUGGGUAAAGAAGCACCGGCUAACUACGUG